rnacentral:rRNA from 1 species
GUCCACGCCGUAAACGAUGUCAACUAGCCGUUGGGAGCCUUGAGCUCUUAGUGGCGCAGCUAACGCAUUAAGUUGACCGCCUGGGGAGUACGGCCGCAAGGUUAAAACUCAAAUGAAUUGACGGGGGCCCGCACAAGCGGUGGAGCAUGUGGUUUAAUUCGAAGCAACGCGAAGAACCUUACCAGGCCUUGACAUCCAAUGAACUUUCUAGAGAUAGAUUGGUGCCUUCGGGAACAUUGAGACAGGUGCUGCAUGGCUGUCGU